GGUCAAGAUAGUAAGGGCACAUGGUGGAUGCCUGGGCGUUAAAGGCCGAAGAAGGACGUGGCAGGCUGCGAAAAGCUUCGGGGAGCCGUCAACAGGCUCUGAUCCGGAGAUCUCCGAAUGGGGAAACCCGCCCGGGGGAAUGCCCGGGCACC
rnacentral:rRNA from 1 species